GGCCCGAAGCCAGGUCCUCGGCAACAAUAUCGCGGAUGAAGUCGCGGCCUGCGGUCGAAGGCGAUUCGUCGGUCAUUGGCACCCUUUCAGUUGGGCCCUAUGUGCCAAAUCCGGGAGGCCCCGCCAAGCCAAGUGCUGCCCGGCGCUGGCCAGACCGGGCUUUUUUGCUGGCGAAGCCCGCAUCCGGGCUUUGGGCGCGUUUUAAAUCCCCGGUAAUUCGUGCUGAGACAGUGUGCCG
rnacentral:misc_RNA from 1 species